rnacentral:lncRNA from 1 species
CUCCUGGGGGCAGGGCAGACGCCAUGUGUCUGUUUUAUGGAUUCCGUUGGUGAACCUGUAAAAAAAAUAAAUAAAUAAAAAUUAAAAAAAAAAUUAAAACACACACACACACACACACACACACACACAAAACUUAAAACUAAACUCUCUACGGGGAGGGUCCCCAUACCUACCGCUUCCGUUUGCCGGUGGGACGCUCAAACAGCAGGACGCUAUAGGCCAAAUAUAUUUUUAUAAAAAUGCUCACGCCUAUGGGGGACUGCCUUCUGCCAGAGUUGUCUUUGGAGAGCAGAAAGAAGAAAAGCAAGAAAGAAGCUGGAGACAGAGAAGAAAGGCCAGCAGGAAGCACCUGGAGCCUGGGAUUUGAACUGAUUCUGAACCUUUGCCAAUAAUACCAUUAUGUGCCAUGUACUGACCCGAAGGACUUGGUGACCAAGGCGAAGCCAAGCGAACCACGUGUAGAAAUCUUACCGAAAACAGUGGGUGGGAAUCUUCCAAUAGAGUCGCUAUUUCUGGUUAAUAUACAUAUAUAAAUAUAUAAAUACACACAGACACACACACACACACUUUUUUUGUACUGUAGCAAUUUUUGAAGAUCUUCAAUGUUCCUUUUUAAAAAAAAAAUGUUAUCGGUUACAGAAUCUGAUUUAUUUAACAUGCUUAGUACGAACAGAAUAAACUGGUGUUUUCUACUUUGGCAACAUACCGCGCACACAGGAACACACACGCACACACACACACACAUGCAUAUAUAUGCAUAUAUUGGAAAUGCAGUUCCACGAGUGAGCAUAUUCCUUCUGGUGACCUGGUAUCCCAUGGCCAUCCAUCCCGGGGGACAGCCUGGACCCACGCAAAGAGACCCCUCAAUGACACAUCCUGCAUUCGCUGGUAUCUGGGGCUGAUUUUGUCCUUGUUGGAUCUGCCGGCUCUGAUCUUGGAGGGGUGUUCUGCCUGGAGUCUCGUGGGCCUGCCGGUUUCUCCCUCUGCAUCCGCUCACCGUGCCCUUCACUAGCAGAAGCCUGGUGUGGAUCCACUGGCGAUCAGCUGAGGCAGAAGCGCUCACUCUCAGACGGGCAUGCAGCU